rnacentral:rRNA from 1 species
GGGGGACAACAGUUGGAAACGACUGCUAAUACCGGCAUAAUCUCUUCGGAGCAAAGCAGGGGACCUUCGGGACCUUGCGCCUAUUGAUUAGCCCAAGUGGGAUUAGCUAGUUGGUAAGGUAAUGGCUUACCAAGGCGACGAUCCCUAGCUGGUCUUAGAGGAUGACCAGCCACACUGGAACUGAGACACGGUCCAGACUCCUACGGGAGGCAGCAGUGGGGAAUAUUGCACAAUGGAGGAAACUCUGAUGCAGCCAUGCCGCGUGUGUGAAGAAGGCUUCGGGUUGUAAAGCACUUUCAAGCGAGGAGGAAAGGGCGAUGGUUUAAUAACUAAUCGUCUGUGACGUUACUCGCAGAAGAAGCACCGGCUAACUCCGUG